rnacentral:rRNA from 1 species
UACGAAGGGGGCUAGCGUUACUCGGAUUGACUGGGCGUAAAGGGCGCGUAGGCGGUUUGUACAGUCAGACGUGAAAUUCCUGGGCUCAACCUGGGGGCCGCGUUUGAUACGUGCAGACUUGAGUUCGGAAGAGGGUCGUGGAAUUCCCAGUGUAGAGGUGAAAUUCGUAGAUAUUGGGAAGAACACCGGUGGCGAAGGCGACUGACUGGACAAGUAUUGACGCUGAGGUGCGAAAGCGUGGGGAGCAAACAGG